rnacentral:sRNA from 1 species
UGAGAAGCUUCGACUAAGGUUCGACUCGAGCGAAGUGAGAGAACGUUGCCGCAGGCAACGGCCCGAAGGCGAGGCGCUUUAGCGCCGAGUAAUCCUUCCCCCACCACUG